rnacentral:rRNA from 1 species
UACGGGGGGGGCAAGCGUUGCUCGGAAUUACUGGGCGUAAAGGGCGCGUAGGCGGACAGUUUAGUCAGAGGUGAAAGCCCAGGGCUCAACCCUGGAAUUGCCUUUGAUACUGGCUGUCUUGAGUACGGGAGAGGUGUGUGGAACUCCGAGUGUAGAGGUGAAAUUCGUAGAUAUUCGGAAGAACACCAGUGGCGAAGGCGACACACUGGCCCGUUACUGACGCUGAGGCGCGAAAGCGUGGGGAGCAAACAGG